GAUCCUGCCGGAGGUCACUGCUAUCGGGGUUCGACUAAGCCAUGCAAGUCGAGAGGGGUAAAGCCCUCGGCGAACUGCUCAGUAACACGUGGAUAACCUGACCUAGGGUGGAGGAUAACCCCGGGAAACUGGGGAUAAUACUCCAUAGGCUACGGAAGCUGGAAUGCUCUGUAACCCAAAGCUCCGGCGCCCUAGGAUGGGUCUGCGGCCGAUUAGGUUGUUGUUGGGGUAACGGCCCAACAAGCCGAUCAUCGGUACGGGUUGUGGGAGCAAGAGCCCGGAGAUGGAUUCUGAGACAUGAAUCCAGGCCCUACGGGGCGCAGCAGGCGCGAAAACUUUACAAUGCGGGAAACCGUGAUAAGGGGACCCCGAGUGCCUGUACACGCAGGCUGUUCAGGUGUUUAAAACGCAUCUGGAGAAAGGGCCGGGCAAGACCGGUGCCAGCCGCCGCGGUAAUACCGGCGGCUCGAGUGGUGGCCACUAUUACUGGGCUUAAAGCGUCCGUAGCCGGGUUGUUAAGUCUCCUGGGAAAUCCAACGGCUCAACCGUUGGGCGUUCAGGGGAUACUGGCAGUCUAGGGAUCGGGGGAGGUGAGAGGUACUCUAGGGGUAGGAGUGAAAUCCUGUAAUCCUUGGGGGACCACCUGUGGCGAAGGCGUCUCACCAGAACGACUCCGACGGUGAGGGACGAAAGCUGGGGGAGCAAACCGGAUUACAUACCCGGGUAGUCCCAGCUGUAAACGAUGCGCGUUAGGUGUAUCGGUGACUACGAGUCACCGAGGUGCCGAAAGGAAACCGUGAAACGUGCCGCCUGGAAGUACGGUCGCAAGGCUGAAACUUAAAGGAAUUGGCGGGGGAGCACCACAACGGGUGGAGCCUGCGGUUUAAUUGGAUUCAACGCCCGGG
rnacentral:rRNA from 1 species